rnacentral:rRNA from 1 species
CAAUAGCGUAUAUUAAAGUUGUUGCAGUUAAAAAGCUCGUAGUUGGAUUUCUGGUUGAAGCGACCGGUCGGGCGUUGAUUCGUCUGCACUGGAGUCGGUUUUGGCCAUCCUCUAGGAAAGUGCGUCUGGUAUUAAGUUAUCGGGCGUAUGAUCCUGGUCUUUUACUGUGAAAAAAUUAGAGUGUUUAAAGCAGGCCUUCGCCUUGAAUACAUUAGCAUGGAAUAAUAAGAUAGGACUUUGGUCUAUUUUGUUGGUUUGCAGACCGAAGUAAUGAUUAAUAGGGAUAGUUGGGGGUAUCUAUAUUCCGAUGUCAGAGGUGAAAUUCUUAGAUUUUCGGAAGAUAAACUUAUGCGAAAGCAUUUACCAAGGAUGUUUUCAUUAA